rnacentral:lncRNA from 1 species
UUUUCGGAAUCAUACAAAUAUUCGUAAUAUUUAACCGCGGAUCCAUAUCUCCUGAAACCAAAAAAUUAUUCACCAUCUCAACCACAUCCUUCUAAUAACAUGCCAGGAAUGCUGAAAAAAAAGAGAGAUGUCAUUCCAUCCGGACCUGGCGCUUUCUCCGGGUGCAUCAUAAAUAAAGCUUCUCGGACAUCAUCCCAUGUUGCUAUUCUCAAUAAUUUUUGAUUCAUUUGGGGGGAAAUAGACGGUACUAUCUCUUCCAAAAAACUAUCAAACUCUGUUGGAGUGGUAGAACAAAACAGACCUUCAAAAUAAUCAACCGCCACAUUCUCAAUUUCAUUCUCCUC